GACGAACGCUGGCGGCGUGCUUAACACAUGCAAGUCGAACGAAGUGGCGAACGGGUGAGUAACGCGUAAUCAACCUGCCCUUCAGCGGGGGACAACAGUUGGAAACGACUGCUAAUACCGCAUACUGAAGGAGGGGAUUGCGUCUGAUUAGCUAGUUGGAGGGGUAACGGCCCACCAAGGCGAUGAUCAGUAGCCGGUCUGGAGAGAGGAACAGCCACAUUGGGAAUGGGACACGGCCCAGACUCCUACGGGAGGCAGCAGGGGGGAAUCUUCCGCAAUGGACGGAAGUCUGACGGAGCAACGCCGCGUGAGUGAUGACGGCGUUCGGGUUGGAAAGCUCUGUUAAUCGGGACGCGGUACCGGAAUAGAAAGCCACGGCUAACUACGUGCCAGCAGCCGCGGUAAUAC
rnacentral:rRNA from 1 species